rnacentral:lncRNA from 1 species
UUUAUCACUAAACUUCAUCCAUCUUUACCUAUAGAAAAUUAACUAAGCCUGAGCAGACACCGUCAAAAUAUAUGACCUCACUACAAGCUGGUGC